AUUGAACGCUGGCGGCAGGCCUAACACAUGCAAGUCGAGCGAGCGGCGCACGGGUGAGUAAUGUCUGGGAAACUGCCUGAUGGAGGGGGAUAACUACUGGAAACGGUAUCUAAUAUCGCAUACCAUCUGAGGUGCCCAGCUGGGAUUAGCUAGUAGGUGGGGGAACGGCCCACCUAGGCGACGAUCCCUAGCUGGUCUGAGAGGAUGACCAGCCACAAGGGAACUGCGAACCGGGCCAGACUCCUACGGGAUGCAGCAGUGGGGAAUAUUGCACAAUGGGCGAAAGCCUGAUACAGCCAUGCCGCGUGUGUGAAGAAGGUCUUCGGGUUGGAAAGCACUUUCAGCGGGGAGGCGUUACCAGCAGAAGAAGCACCGGCUAACUCCGUGCCAGCAGCCUCGGUAAUCC
rnacentral:rRNA from 1 species